GACGAACGCUGGCGGCGUGCUUAACACAUGCAAGUCGAACGAGAAUCUAUGGAAAGAGGAUCCGUCCAAUUGAAAUAGAGGACAGUGGCGGACGGGUGAGUAACGCGUGAGGAACCUGCCUUUCAGAGGGGGACAACAGUUGGAAACGACUGCUAAUACCGCAUAACGCGUAGAGGUCGCAUGGCCUUUACGCCAAAGAUUUAUCGCUGAAAGAUGGCCUCGCGUCUGAUUAGCUAGUUGGUGAGGUAACGGCCCACCAAGGCGACGAUCAGUAGCCGGACUGAGAGGUUGAACGGCCACAUUGGGACUGAGAUACGGCCCAGACUCCUACGGGAGGCAGCAGUGGGGAAUAUUGGGCAAUGGGCGCAAGCCUGACCCAGCAACGCCGCGUGAAGGAAGAAGGCUUUCGGGUUGUAAACUUCUUUGUCAGGGACGAGCAGAAGACGGUACCUGACGAAUAAGCCACGGCUAACUACGUG
rnacentral:rRNA from 1 species